UACGUAGGCAGCAAGCGUUGUUCGGAGUUACUGGGCGUAAAGGGUGUGUAGGCGGUUCUUUAAGUUUGGUGUGAAAUCUCCCGGCUUAACCGGGAGGGUGCGCCGAAUACUGAGGGACUAGAGUACGGGAGAGGAAAGUGGAAUUCCUGGUGUAGCGGUGAAAUGCGUAGAUAUCAGGAGGAACACCGGUGGUGUAGACGGCUUUCUGGACCGUAACUGACGCUGAGACACGAAGGCGUGGGUAGCAAACAGG
rnacentral:rRNA from 1 species